rnacentral:rRNA from 1 species
GACAGAGGGUGCAAACGCUGCUCGGAAUUACUGGGCGUAAAGCGCGUGUAGGCGGUCACGCAAGUCAGGUGUGAAAGCCCAGGGCUCAACCCUGGAAGUGCACAUGAUACUACGUGGCUGGAGUACUGAAGAGGAGAGCGGAAUUCCCGGUGUAGAGGUGAAAUUCGUAGAUAUCGGGAGGAACACCAGUGGCGAAGGCGGCUCUCUGGGCAGAUACUGACGCUGAGACGCGAAAGCGUGGGUAGCAAACAGG